rnacentral:tRNA from 1 species
GCCUGGGUGGCUCAGUCGGUUGAGCGUCUGACUUCGACUCAGGUCAGUCAUGAUCUCGCGGUCCGUGGGUUCGAGCCCCGCGUCCGGCU